UCUUCCGUAGUAUAGUGGUUAGUAUAUGAGCUUGUCAUUCCGGGCUUUCUGAGCCCUCGACAAUACGCUCGGGACCCGGGUUCAAUUCCCGGCGGGAGAG